UUGGAGGGCAAGUCUGGUGCCAGCAGCCGCGGUAAUUCCAGCUCCAAUAGCGUAUAUUAAAGUUGUUGCAGUUAAAAAGCUCGUAGUUGAAUUUCGGGAUCAAUAUACCGGUCGUGCCUCAGGUAUGAACUGGUCUUAUUGGUUUCUCCCUUCUGACGAACCAUGAUGUCAUUAAUUUGAUGUCGUGGAGAAUCAGGACUGUUACUUUGAAAAAAUUAGAGUGUUUAAAGCAGGCUAACGCUUGAAUACAUUAGCAUGGAAUAAUGAAAUAGGACGUUCGAUCCUAUUUUGUUGGUUUCUAGGAUCGACGUAAUGAUUAAUAGGGAUAGUUGGGGGCAUUAGUAUUCAAUUGUCAGAGGUGAAAUUCUUGGAUUUAUUGAAGACUAACUACUGCGAAAGCAUUCGCCAAGGAUGUUUUCAUUAAUCAAGAACGAAAGUUAGGGGAUCGAAGACGAUCAGAUACCGUCGUAGUCUUAACCAUAAACUAUGCCGACUAGGGAUCGGAUGAUGUUAAUUUUUUAAUGACUCAUUCGGCGCCUUACGGGAAAC
rnacentral:rRNA from 1 species